CCCCUUCUUCAUUCCACAUUGGGCCAAACAGGACACACAGACAGACCCUAAAGGCUUCGCCGCCGUUCUCCAAUUCCUCAUAAAUCAGAUGUAAUCUGUUUAAAAUUCUUUCUUUCUUUUUUUUUGUUUGUUUGUUUACUCAACAUCACAUCAGAUUCCAGCUCUUCUGUCAGAGAGUUACCGCUGAAAGAAAACUUUUUAAGGAGUCCACCUAAGUUAGGUGGAGGGAACAUCUGCAGUUUAAAACGCGCAACAAUGGAUCUUUUGCUGUUUGUGGCAUUCGUCACCUGGUUGACCCCUGCUCUCGUUUCAGCAGUAGACAGCGAAAAAGCAGACUAUGACAGCGCUUUUGAAUAUGACUACGAAUCUCUGAGGAUCGGUGGCCUGAUUUUCGCCGUCGUGCUGUUCCUGCUGGGUAUCGCCCUCAUCGUCAGCAGAAAAUGUAUGUGUAAAAAGAGUGACAAGUCAAGGUCCCGAGGUCCUGAUGUGGAAUCGGGUGUUCAAAGGGCAUAAUCCCAAAGACAAAGAUCAAAUGCGUAGGCUACUAGUGCGUGGACGUCAAGCUGCUGGAUGUGGAAUGAACGCUCAAAACGGUGCUGCAGCGCAAUGUUGGACUAGCGCCACCAGGGUGCGCCCUACUGGAAUGUGGGCCACGGCAUGUCAGUACGUUUCCACCCAUCUGCAGUCUGCACGUCGAUUUGCUCUGAGGAACUCUUCAGCGUCCGCACUGAAACCAUGGGCACCACAGAUCAUCUGAUACUCCAAUACCAAAGACAGACGUGCCUCCUCCAGCUGUAUAGCAAACGGAGUCAUUUGUUCAAGCAAAGCGAGGCCGGCGUCACAAGAAGAGAAGCAUACAGAAUGCAUAAGUGUUUUAUGACUCUGAGUCCUCAGCUGGAUGAUCAAUAAAUAAUGUGCUCAAAUGUU